GGCUUCCCAAUUAUUAUCACAACUUGUUUUCUUUACACAGACUAUAUAGAAAAAGGAGGUAUAGUAAAUGCUCCCCAUAUGCACCUCAAUCAAGCCCUUUGCUGGUCUGUAUUGUGAAUUGGGGGACAAAA